ACCAUCUGUAACUCCAGUUCUAGGGGAUCUGACACCUUCUUCUGGCCUCUCAACAGGAAGCCAAAGGAAGACAAGAGAAAGGCAAGAUGUGGCUGUCUGUUCAACAGAAAGCACUGUCUCAGCUACUCUAUGAGGACAUGCUGCACACAAGCUGGCCCAGCCUUAUGCACAGGCUGCACCUGCAGGAGAUAAAGACUAGCCGAAAACAGCGAUGGUGUUGACAGCAAUUCCCUAGAAUCUUCAUCUUCUGACUUGGCUCCAGUUCCUUCCUCCUGGCUUCUGGCUCUGUCGUCACCUCAGUUACUUGAACCUUGGCUUCGCUAAUCCAACAGGCCAGGGAGGUUUCGAAACCUCAGGAAGGCCAGCCUCACCUAGAAGACUUCCCAAGCCCCUAAUGCUGGUCCCUAGUGCAAGAGUUUUUAAUUAAGUUGUUGACCUGGAAUUCAAAUUCAAUUUGGAAUGCUGUAAUCUUUGCAUGUGUGCAUGUUCAUGUGUACUUGUACACAGGUGUAGGGGGCACACAAGCCUACAAGUCUGUUUGUG